rnacentral:rRNA from 1 species
CGCGUAGGCGGCUUUUUAAGUCUGGGGUGAAAACCUGUGGCUCAACCACAGGCCUGCCCCAGAAACCGGAGAGCUUGAGGCCGUGAGAGGAAAGCGGAAUUCCUGGUGUAUCGGUGAAAUGAGUUGAUAUCAGGAGGAACACCGGUGGCGAAGGCGGCUUUCUGGUGCGGUUCUGACGCUGAGGUGCGAAAGCAUGGGGAGCAAACG